AGUGAACGCUGGCGGCAGGCCUAUCACAUGCAAGUCGAGCGGCAGCGCGGGGGCAACCCUGGCGGCGAGCGGCGGACGGGUGAGGAAUUCGUCGGAAUCUGCCUUUUUGUGGGGGAUAACGUAGGGAAACUUACGCUAAUACCGCAUACGUCCUACGGGAGAAAGUGGGGGACCGCAAGGCCUCACGCAGAAAGAUGAGCCGACGACCGAUUAGCUAGUUGGUGGGGUAAAGGCCCACCAAGGCGACGAUCGGUAGCUGGUCUGAGAGGAUGAUCAGCCACACUGGGACUGAGACACGGCCCAGACUCCUACGGGAGGCAGCAGUGGGGAAUAUUGGACAAUGGGCGCAAGCCUGAUCCAGCCAUGCCGCGUGUGUGAAGAAGGCCUUCGGGUUGUAAAGCACUUUUGUCCGGAAAGAAAUCCCUGGAGCUAAUACCUUCGGGGGAUGACGGUACCGGAAGAAUAAGCACCGGCUAACUUCGUG
rnacentral:rRNA from 1 species